GACUUGUUAGCUCAGCUGGGAGAGCACCAUCUUGACAGGGUGGGGGUCGCAGGUUCGAGCCCUGCACAGGUCA
rnacentral:tRNA from 5 species